CCAGACACCUGUGAGAAGUAGCCUUUACCAUGAGAUAGCCCUUUAUGAAAUCGAUUGAGGCUAACCAUGGUCUUACUAACAUCAAACACCAUGACAACUUAAGAAGUAGAUGUAAGAAACAGCAAAAUUAAGCAUCCUAUAUGUGAAAAACUACCACAUACUAAGAAGUUAGUUUUGAGCCAGAGAAAUUACUACACAAAGAAAAGCCUUACCCUUCAAAGUUAGGUUGCAAGGAGGGGCCAUUUUCAUCCAUGCCUGUGAGACCCGACAGCUUGAAACAAAAACCAAGAGAUUUGAGAGAAGCAGUUCUAUGAAUCAGAGACAUGUAGUUUCAAGUUUUAUUCAAUUCUCCUUAUCAAAACAUAAUUAGUGACCUUGAGACAUUGUAACCACUACACUUUAUAUCAAGUUAGUUCUAUGAAUAAAGUAUACCACACCACACACUGACAAGGCUAUAGCAGUGUUAAUGCAACAUCCAUACGCAAACAAAAAAUGUGUUGAUUUAAAAGCUCAAAUGAUGAUAUUCUCCUGAA